rnacentral:rRNA from 1 species
UACGUAGGGUGCAAGCGUUGUCCGGAAUUAUUGGGCGUAAAGAGCUCGUAGGCGGUUCGUCGCGUCGGCUGUGAAAACCCGGAGCUCAACUCCGGGCCUGCAGUCGAUACGGGCGGACUCGAGUUCGGCAGGGGAGACUGGAAUUCCUGGUGUAGCGGUGAAAUGCGCAGAUAUCAGGAGGAACACCGGUGGCGAAGGCGGCUUGCUGGGCCUUACCUGACGCUGAGGAGCGAAAGCGUGGGGAGCGAACAGG